rnacentral:rRNA from 1 species
GCAGGCGCGAAACCUUUACACUGCACGACAGUGCGAUAGGGGGAUCCCAAGUGCACAGGCAUAGCGCCUGUGCUUUUCGGUACCCUAAGGCGGUACCAGAAUAAGGGCUGGGCAAGACCGGUGCCAGCCGCCGCGGUAAUACCGGCAGCCCAAGUGGUGGCCGAUCUUAUUGGGCCUAAAGCGUCCGUAGCUGGCCGUACAAGUCCAUCGGGAAAUCCACCUGCUCAACAGGUGGGCGCCCGGUAGAAACUGUGCGGCUUGGGACCGGAAGGCGCGACGGGUACGUCCGGGGUAGGAGUGAAAUCCCGUAAUCCUGGACGGACCGCCGAUGGCGAAAGCACGUCGCGAGAACGGAUCCGACAGUGAGGGACGAAAGCCAGGGUCUCGAACCGGAUUAGAUACCCGGGUAGUCCUGGCCGUAAACAAUGUCUGCUAGGUGUGGCUCCCACUACGAGUGGGUGCUGUGCCGUAGGGAAGCCGCUAAGCAGACCGCCUGGGAAGUACGUCCGCAAGGAUGAAACUUAAAGGAAUUGGCGGGGGAGCACUACAACCGGAGGAGCCUGCGGUUUAAUUGGAGUCAACGCCGG